ACCAGGGCGAAAGCUGAUGCGUGACCCGCGUGAGGGACGACGGCCUUCGGGUUGUAAACCUCUUUCAGCAGGGACGAAGCGCAAGUGACGGUACCUGCAGAAGAAGCACCGGCUAACUACGUGCCAGCAGCCGCGGUAAUACGUAGGGUGCAAGCGUUGUCCGGAAUUACUGGGCGUAAAGAGUUCGUAGGCGGUUUGUCACGUCGUUUGUGAAAACUCACAGCUCAACUGUGAGCCUGCAGGCGAUACGGGCAGACUUGAGUACUGCAGGGGAGACUGGAAUUCCUGGUGUAGCGGUGAAAUGCGCAGAUAUCAGGAGGAACACCGGUGGCGAAGGCGGGUCUCUGGGCAGUAACUGACGCUGAGGAACGAAAGCGUGGGUAGCGAACAGGAUUAGAUACCCUGGUAGUCCACGCCGUAAACGGUGGGCGCUAGGUGUGGGUUCCUUCCACGGAAUCCGUGCCGUAGCUAACGCAUUACGCGCCCCGCCUGGGGAGUACGGCCGCAAGGCUAAAACUCAAAGGAAUUGACGGGGGCCCGCACAAGCGGCGGAGCAUGUGGAUUAAUCCGAUGCAACGCGAAGAAACUUACCUGGGUUUGACAUAUACCGGGAAAGCCGUAGAGAUACGGACCCCCUUGUGGUCGGUAUACAGGUGGUGCAUGGCUGUCGUCAGCUCGUGUCGUGAGAUG
rnacentral:rRNA from 1 species